UGGUUAAAAAGCUCGUAGUUGGAUCUCGGCGGACUGAGGGCGGUUUGCUUGCUAGUAUUACUGCCCUAUAGUCCGUAGUUUUGCCAGAGGUUUCGGGGUGCUCCUAAUCGAGUGUCCCGGGAUGCUGGCAGGUUUACUUUGAAAAAAUUAGAGUGCUCAAAGCAGGCUAUUACGCCUGAAUAUUCGUGCAUGGAAUAAUAGAAUAGGAAGUCGUUUCUAUUUUGUUGGUUUUCGGAAAUCGACUUAAUGAUUAAUAGGGACAGUCGGGGGCAUUUGUAUUCAAACGACAGAGGUGAAAUUCUUGGACCGUUUGAAGACAAACUACUGCGAAAGCAUUUGCCAAGAAUGUUUUCAUUAAUCAAGAACGAAAGUUAAAGGUUCGAAGGCGAUUAGAUACCGCCCUAGUUUUAACCAUAAACGAUGCCAGCUAGCGAUCUGCGGACGUUUUUUUUGUAGACUCCGCAGGAAGCUUCCGGGAAACCAAAGCAUUUGGGUUCCAGGGGGAAGUAUGGUUGCAAAGCUGAAACUUAAA
rnacentral:rRNA from 1 species